AAUUGCUGUUAGAGUAAGGGGUGGGUAAGACCGGUGCCAGCCGCCGCGGUAACACCGGCACCCCGAGUGGUAGCCACUAUUAUUGGGCCUAAAGCGUUCGUAGCCGGUUUAGUAAAUUCUUGGGUAAAUCGUACAGCUUAACUGUGCGGAUUCCGGGGACACUACUAGACUUGAGACCGGGAGAGAUUAGAGGUACUUGCAGGGGAGCGGUGAAAUGUUGUAAUCCUGCAGGGACCACCAGUGGCGAAGGCGUCUAAUCAUAACGGCUCUGACGGUGAGGAACGAAACCCUGGGGCGCAAACGGGAUUAGAUACCCCGGUAGUCCAGGGCGUAAACGCUGCUGACUUGGUGUUGGAGAUCCUACGAGGGUGUCCAGUGCUGGCGCGAAGGUAUUAAGUCAGCCGCCUGGGGAGUACGGUCGCAAGACUGAAACUUAAAGGAAUUGGCGGGGGAGCACUGCAACGUGUGGAGCGUGCGGUUUAAUUGGAUUCAACGCCGGAAAACUCACCGGGGGCGACGGUUACAUGAAGGCCAAGCUGAUGACUUUGCCUGAUUUUCCGAGAGGUGGUGCAUGGCCGCCGUCAGUUCGUACCGUAAGGCGUUCUGUUAAGUCAGAUAACGAACGAGACCUCCGUCACCAUUUGCUAUCCUCUUCUCCGGAAGGGGAGCACUAUGGUGGUACCGCCACUGUUAAAGUGGAGGAAGGAGGGGGCAACGGUAGGUCAGUAUGCCCCGAAUCUCCCGGGCUACACGCGCGCUACAAAGGGCAGGACAAUGGGCUUCGACACCGAAAGGUGAAGGCAAUCCUGAAACCUGCUCGUAAUUCGGAUUGAGGGCUGCAAUUCGCCCUCAUGAAGCUGGAAUACGUAGUAAUCGCGGGUCAACAUCCCGCGGUGAAUAUGCCCCUGCUCCUUGCACACACCGCCCGUCAAACCACCUUAGUUGGGUCUGGACGAGGGUUUGUCUUAUGACACGCUCGAAUCUGGGUUCAGCGAGGAGGGUUAAGUCGUAACAAGGUAUCCGUA
rnacentral:rRNA from 1 species